rnacentral:rRNA from 1 species
UACGUAGGGGGCAAGCGUUGUCCGGAAUUAUUGGGCGUAAAGCGCACGCAGGCGGUCUGCCAAGUUUGGAGUGACAGUUGGUGGCUCAACCACCAAAGUGCUUCGAAAACUGGCAGACUUGAGGGCUUCAGAGGGACACGGAAUUCCGGGUGGAGUGGUGAAAUGCGUAGAGAUCCGGAGGAACACCGAAGGCGAAGGCAGUGUCCUGGAGAGUACCUGACGCUCAGGUGCGAAAGCUAGGGGAGCGAACGGG